AGGGAUGGAGAGAGGAAAGGCGUAUCACUAGAGACACAGGCUUAUCAUCUAGCAGCACAGCCUCUUUGUCAAACGUGGGGAAGGAGCCGGCCCUGAGCGAGUAAUCAAGAUAAACCGUGUCUCUUUUGUCUCUCCUGCUGCACUUAUCCAACAUGGACCAGAAGACCACGUCGCCACAGAGGCAUAUGGUGAAGAGCAGGUCCAAGUCUACUGAAGAAAUCCAGCAAGCCAAGAAGGCAUUCCAUAUACCGCAGAAGUCUCUACCUGGUGGAUCAGAUUUGGACAAAGUGAAGGAAGGACAAGAAGAAUCUGAAGCUCCAACAUCAGCCUCAGAAGAGCUGAAGUAAUAUACAGGGUCUGGAAGAAUGCAAACAGACACACACACACACACACACACACACACACACACACACACACACACAUUAAAUACACAUUUCAGACACACUUCUCCAUGUCUGUGCUAACUGCAAUCUGCGACUGCUUCACAUAUCUUAAACUGUCUCAUUAAACUACAUGGAAGUCAUUUGGUGCUCAUAUACAGUCGACUCCAAAAUUAUUGGCACCCUUCCUGACAGUGAGUCCAGUGUCCUCAGGCACUGUUACACAUCCAGCAUGAUUUAGAAAUUUGUAACCUAGUUUCUGCCCCUGAUGGUGAAUAAUGGUAUAUUGACCGUUCAUGUAUUUUUCAAUAUCUAUAUGUGCAUUAAAUAUGUGAUGAUAAAUCAGAAAAUCCGUACAUUAUAAAUGCAUGUGUGCAGCAGGAAAUGGUGAGGGGCUUUUUUACUUAUUUUUGUUAUUUUUAUUUAUUUUAGAGAUUUAUUUAUUUUGUUAAAGACCACUUUUCAAAUUGAAUUGUUAUUCUUUCUUUCUUUCUUUCUUUCUUUCUUUCUUUCUUUCUUUCUUUCUUUCUUUCUUUCUUUCUUUCUUUCUUUCAAAUGCUUAUAAUGCUUAAACAAAGCCAAGUAGUUGUUUAUCUGUAUAGAUGGGAAUUUAAUAUCAAUGGGUAAUUUUAUUGGUUGCAGAUAUUAUUAUUAUAAUUUUAUUAUUAUUAUUAUUAUUAUUAUUAUUAUUAUUAUUAUGGGGGGUGAGAGAGAGAGAGAGAGUGUAUGUGUGUGUGGUGCACUGUGAUGAACUGGUGUUCCCAUCUAGAGUGUAUUCUUGAUGCGGUUUCCAGUUUUCCCAGGAUGGGCUUCAGAUCCAUCACAAUCCCAGUGAACGCAAAGCACUUAGGACAGAUAAAUAAAUGAAUGAAUGAAUGACUUUUUGCUCAUUUGAAUAAAUAGUGCCAAUAAUUUUGGAGUUGACGGAUAUGAAACGCUUUGCCAUUAAACCCAUCUGUACCGUAGGCAUGGUC